AGAGACUUAGGAUAAACAAACCAAGGACCUUCAAAGUCCUAAAUAAGAGUCUCCCUCUUAGUCUCUG
rnacentral:tRNA from 1 species